rnacentral:rRNA from 1 species
CCUACGGGCGGCAGCAGUGAGGGAUAUUGCACAAUGGGGGGAACCCUGAUGCAGCGACGCCGCGUGGGUGAAGAAGCGCCUCGGCGCGUAAAGCCCUGUCAGCAGGGAAGAAAAUGACGGUACCUACAGAAGAAGCCCCGGCUAACUACGUGCCAGCAGCCGCGGUAAUACGUAGGGGGCAAGCGUUAUCCGGAUUUACUGGGUGUAAAGGGGGCGCAGACGGCGAUGCAAGCCAGGAGUGAAAGCCCGGGGCUCAACCCCGGGACUGCUCUUGGAACUGCGUGGCUGGAGUGCAGGAGGGGCAGGCGGAAUUCCUGGUGUAGCGGUGAAAUGCGUAGAUAUCAGGAGGAACACCGGUGGCGAAGGCGGCCUGCUGGACUGCAACUGACGUUGAGGCCCGAAAGCGUGGGGAGCAAACAGGAUUAGAUACCCCAGUAGUC